rnacentral:rRNA from 1 species
GAUGAACGCUGGCGGCGUGCCUAAUACAUGCAAGUCGAGCGAAGCGGGGACAGGUGAGUAACACGUGGAUAACCUCCUAUAAGACUGGGGUACCAUCGGGAAACCGGAGCUAAACCGGGUACUUAUAGAUGGAUCCGCGCUGCAUUAGCUAGUUGGUCAGGUAGCGGCUUACAAAGGCAACGAUGGAUAGCGGACCUGAGAGGGGGACCGGCCAAAUGGGAACGGAGAAAGGGCCCAGACUCCUAAGGGAGGAAGAAGUAGGGAAUUUUCCGAAAGGGGCGAAAGCCUGACGGAGCAACGCGGCGUGAGUGAUGAAGGUCUUCGGAUCGUAAAACUCGGUUAUUAGGGAAGCGGUACCGAAUCAGAAAGCCACGGCUAACUACGUGCCAGCAGCCGCGGUAAUAC